rnacentral:rRNA from 1 species
GACGAACGCUGGCGGCGUGCUUAACACAUGCAAGUCGAACGGAAAGGCCCUGCUUUUGUGGGGUGCUCGAGUGGCGAACGGGUGAGUAACACGUGAGUAACCUGCCCUUGACUUUGGGAUAACUUCAGGAAACUGGGGCUAAUACCGGAUAGGAGCUCCUGCUGCAUGGUGGGGGUUGGAAAGUUUCGGCGGUUGGGGAUGGACUCGCGGCUUAUCAGCUUGUUGGUGGGGUAGUGGCUUACCAAGGCUUUGACGGGUAGCCGGCCUGAGAGGGUGACCGGCCACAUUGGGACUGAGAUACGGCCCAGACUCCUACGGGAGGCAGCAGUGGGGAAUAUUGCACAAUGGGCGGAAGCCUGAUGCAGCAACGCCGCGUGCGGGAUGACGGCCUUCGGGUUGUAAACCGCUUUCGCCUGUGACGAAGCGUGAGUGACGGUAAUGGGUAAAGAAGCACCGGCUAACUACGUGCCAGCAGCCGCGGUGAUACGUAGGGUGCGAGCGUUGUCCGGAUUUAUUGGGCGUAAAGGGCUCGUAGGUGGUUGAUCGCGUCGGAAGUGUAAUCUUGGGGCUUAACCCUGAGCGUGCUUUCGAUGCGGGUUGACUUGAGGAAGGUAGGGGAGAAUGGAAUUCCUGGUGGAGCGGUGGAAUGCGCAGAUAUCAGGAGGAACACCAGUGGCGAAGGCGGUUCUCUGGGCCUUUCCUGACGCUGAGGAGCGAAAGCGUGGGGAGCGAACAGGCUUAGAUACCCUGGUAGUCCACGCUGUAAACGGUGGGUACUAGGUGUGGGGUCCAUUCCACGGGUUCCGUGCCGUAGCUAACGCUUUAAGUACCCCGCCUGGGGAGUACGGCCGCAAGGCUAAAACUCAAAGGAAUUGACGGGGCCCCGCACAAGCGGCGGAGCAUGCGGAUUAAUUCGAUGCAACGCGUAGAACCUUACCUGGGUUUGACAUGGAUCGGGAGUGCUCAGAGAUGGGUGUGCCUCUUUUGGGGUCGGUUCACAGGUGGUGCAUGCCUGUCGUCAGCUCGUGUCGUGAGAUGUUGGGUUAAGUCCCGCAACGAGCGCAACCCUUGUUCACUGUUGCCAGCACGUUAUGGUGGGGACUCAGUGGAGACCGCCGGGGUCAACUCGGAGGAAGGUGGGGAUGACGUCAAGUCCUCAUGCCCCUUAUGUCCAGGGCUUCACGCAUGCUACAAUGGCUGGUACAGAGAGUGGCGAGCCUGUGAGGGUGAGCGAAUCUCGGAAAGCCGGUCUCAGUUCGGAUUGGGGUCUGCAACUCGACCUCAUGAAGUCGGAGUCGCUAGUAAUCGCAGAUCAGCAACGCUGCGGUGAAUACGUUCCCGGG